rnacentral:rRNA from 1 species
GAUGAACGCUGGCGGCGUGCCUAAUACAUGCAAGUCGAGCGAACAGACGAGGAGCUUGCUCCUCUGACGUUAGCGGCGGACGGGUGAGUAACACGUGGAUAACCUACCUAUAAGACUGGGAUAACUUCGGGAAACCGGAGCCAAUACCGGAUAAUAUAUUGAACCGCAUGGUUCAAUAGUGAAAGACGGUUUUGCCGUCACUUAUAGAUGGAUCCGCGCCGCAUUAGCUAGUUGGUAAGGUAACGGCUUACCAAGGCAACGAUGCGUAGCCGACCUGAGAGGGUGAUCGGCCGCACUGGAACUGAGACACGGUCCAGACUCCUACGGGAGGCAGCAGUAGGGAAUCUUCCGCAAUGGGCGAAAGCCUGACGGAGCAACGCCGCGUGAGUGAUGAAGGUCUUCGGAUCGUAAAACUCUGUUAUUAGGGAAGAACAAAUGUGUAAGUAACUAUGCACGUCUUGACGGUACCUAAUCAGAAAGCCACGGCUAACUACGU